UUUCAACUUCAGGAUUUUAUGAUACUGUCUUACUUUGCAAGCAUAAUAAUUCUGAUUUUUCAAUACCUUCAGUAUAUUUGGAUAAAAGGCUCCAUGAAUGUCAUCACAGAGGAACAAGCUUUCCGUGGAAAAGGCAUUUGAGCAGUAUGUCAGAGACUCUAUUCUGCAGUGACAACUGGUUUCAGAAUAGUUGUUCAAGAGUGUCAAUGAUAGAAAGUGG